ACCUCAGUAACGGCGAAGUGAAGCGGUAAAAGCUCAAAUUUGAAAUCUGGCUCUUUCAGAGUCCGAGUUGUAAUUUGUAGAAGAUGCUUCGGGUGUGGUUCCGGUCUAAGUUCCUUGGAACAGGACGUCAUAGAGGGUGAGAAUCCCGUAUGUGACUGGAUACCUAUGCUCAUGUGAAGCUCUUUCGACGAGUCGAGUUGUUUGGGAAUGCAGCUCAAAAUGGGUGGUAUAUUUCAUCUAAAGCUAAAUAUUGGCCAGAGACCGAUAGCGCACAAGUAGAGUGAUCGAAAGAUGAAAAGCACUUUGGAAAGAGAGUUAAACAGUACGUGAAAUUGUUGAAAGGGAAGCGCUUGCAAUCAGACUUGCACUUGGUGUUCAUCAGGGUUUCGUGCCCUGUGUACUUCAUCAAGUUCAGGCCAGCAUCAGUUUGAGUGGUUAGAUAAAGGCUUGGAGAAUGUGGCCCUCUUCGGGGGGUGUUAUAGCUCCAGGUGCAAUGUAGCCUACUUGGACUGAGGACCGCGCUUCGGCUAGGAUGCUGGCGUAAUGGUUGUAAGCGACCCGUCUUGAAACACGGACCAAGGAGUGUACCUAAUAUGCGAGUGUUUGGGGUGUUAAACCCAUACGCGUAAUGAAAGUGAACGCUGGUGAGAACCCUUAAGGGUGCAUCAUCGACCGAUCUUGAUGUCUUCGGAUGGAUUUGAGUAAGAGCAUAUUGGGUGCGACCCGAAAGAUGAUGAUCUAUACGUGAAUAGGGUGAAGCCAGAGGAAACUCUGGUGGAGGCUCGCAGCGGUUCUGACGUGCAAAUCGAUCGUCAAAUUUGCGUAUAGGGGGCGAAAGACUAAUCGAAUCAUUAAGGAAUAGACCAAGCUCUAGGUGAUUGAGAAACCCCUUUGGGGUAUUAGUCCUGGAGACAGGGCGACAUUGUCAAAUUGUUCGGGGACCACCUGUUAAAUUAUAUGCUACUGCAGCAGUGCUGAAAGGCCUGUGGAGCACUGAGGGUAACGCCCUCAGGGAUGGUAAUAACGCAUAUAUAGGGUAUAUCCGCAGCGAAGUUCUAAGGCUUUCGAGCUAUGAAUCGCGUUCACAGACUAGACGGCAAUGGGCUCCUCGCGGGGCUUAAGAUAUAGUCGAACCCCUCAGAGAUGAGGAUGGAAU
rnacentral:rRNA from 1 species